rnacentral:rRNA from 1 species
AUUGAACGCUGGCGGAAUGCUUUACACAUGCAAGUCGAACGGCAGCACGGACUUCGGUCUGGUGGCGAGUGGCGAACGGGUGAGUAAUGUAUCGGAACGUGCCCAGUCGUGGGGGAUAACGUAGUGAAAAUUACGCUAAUACCGCAUACGAUCUAUGGAUGAAAGCGGGGGAUCGCAAGACCUCGCGCGAUUGGAGCGGCCGAUAUCAGAUUAGGUAGUUGGUGGGGUAAAGGCCCACCAAGCCAACGAUCUGUAGCUGGUCUGAGAGGACGACCAGCCACACUGGAACUGAGACGCGGUCCAGACUCCUACGGGAGGCAGCAGUGGGGAAUUUUGGACAAUGGGCGAAGGCCUGAUCCAGCCAUUCCGCGUGCGGGAUGAAGGCCCUCGGGUUGUAAACUGCUUUUGUACAGAACGAAAAGGUUUCUACUAAUACUAGGAGCUCAUGACGGUACUGUAAGAAUAAGCACCGGCUAACUACGUGCCAGCCGCCGCAGUAA